CGUUCAUAAGAAGGAUUCAAACCUACGAUUCCUGUAUGCUAGACGAGCGCUUUAUCAACUUAGCUACUGAGC
rnacentral:tRNA from 1 species